rnacentral:rRNA from 1 species
GUAGGGAAUAUUGGGCAAUGGUCGGAAGACUGACCCAGCCAUGCCGCGUGCAGGAAGACGGCCCUCUGGGUUGUAAACUGCUUUUAUCUGGGACGAAAAAGGCCAUGCGUGGCAAAUUGCCGGUACCAGAUGAAUAAGCACCGGCUAACUCCGUGCCAGCAGCCGCGGUAAUACGGAGGGUGCGAGCGUUGUCCGGAUUUAGUGGGUUUAAAGGGUGCGUAGGCGGCUGAUUAAGUCAGCGGUGAAAGACUUCGGCUUAACCGGAGCAGUGCCGUUGAUACUGGUUGGCUUGAGUGUCGGAGGGGUACAUGGAAUUGAUGGUGUAGCGGUGAAAUGCAUAGAUACCAUCAGGAACACCGAUAGCGAAGGCAUUGUACUGGCCGACAACUGACGCUGAUGCACGAAAGUGUGGGGAUCGAACAGGAUUAGAAACCCCGGUAGUCC